rnacentral:rRNA from 1 species
GAUACUGACGCUGAGGUGCGAAAGUGUGGGGAGCAAACAGGAUUAGAUACCCUGGUAGUCCACACCGUAAACGAUGAAUGCCAGACGUCAGCAAGUAUACUUGUUGGUGDCACACCUAACGGAUUAAGCAUUCCGCCUGGGGAGUACGGUCGCAAGAUUAAAACUCAAAGGAA